GAGGGUAUAGCUCAGUGGUAGAGCACAUACUUAGCAUGCACGAGGUCCUGGGAUCAAUCCCCAGUACCUCCA
rnacentral:tRNA from 1 species